rnacentral:rRNA from 1 species
GAUGAACGCUGGCGGCGUGCUUAACACAUGCAAGUCGAACGAUGAAGCCCAGCUUGCUGGGUGGAUUAGUGGCAAACGGUGGGUUAACCCGUGAUUAACCUCCCCUUAACUCUGGGAUAACCCGGGGAAACUGGUUCUAAUACGGAUUAGGAGCUUCACCGGCAGGGGGGGGGUUGGAAGGUUUUAUCGGUUUUGGAUGGACUCGCGGCCUAUCAGCUUGUUGGUGAGGUAAUGGCUCACCAAGGCGACGACGGGUAGCCGGCCUGAGAGGGUGACCGGCCACACUGGGACUGAGACACGGCCCAGACUCCUACGGGAGGCAGCAGUGGGGAAUAUUGCACAAUGGGCGCAAGCCUGAUGCAGCGACGCCGCGUGAGGGAUGACGGCCUUCGGGUUGUAAACCUCUUUCAGUAGGGAAGAAGCGAAAGUGACGGUACCUGCAGAAGAAGCACCGGCUAACUACGUG